rnacentral:rRNA from 1 species
AUGGCAAGUCUCCUGAAGACAGUCAUCCUUGAGAGUUGUGCUGAAUUGGAACAAGUCACCCCUUUCAUGUUACCCCCAUUGCUUGAGUCAUUUAGCUUCAUCAACAGUGGUGCUACUGCUGCCAAGAUAUCUUGUAUCUCCUUUCGGGGUUGUUCUCAGUUGAAGAAUAUACUUCUCAGAGGAAAUUUGGGGCGCCUGGGGGAGCUGGACCUCUCGGACACGGCAGUGAAAACCCUUGACCUCACAGAAGUGGAAGCACCAAACCUCAAGCGUCUCAUGAUGUUGGGCUGUGAGAACCUCUGUGCAAUAUUAUGGCCAUCGAAAGAUAAAAGGACAUGGGUUUUGGAGAAGUUGCACAUCAGCACCGUCCAAUCUGCAUCAAAUAGCCAGAAUGAUUGGCAAGAAAUGACCAAGGAGGCUAGUGUUGCUGCAGGAUCAUCAUCCAUCCUUGCUUUUGGGGCUUCACCACAAGGCAUCGGUCGAACUGCAUCUUUUGAGUUUAAGUGGUACAUUUCUGUAGUGGACCCAAGGCUCAUGUGGUCGCUUCUUCCCUUUCAACAAUAUAUUGAGAGAAACUAUGUAUACAUGGAGACUGAUUCAUCUUCUGCAAGUGGAGUUUCUGUUGGUGAUCGCGAAGUUCCUCAAGGCAUCGGGAGCCAGCGGCAGACUGAUCAAUACUUAUAUGCAAGAGAUGUCUUUCAAGAUCACCCGCAAGCUGUCAGUGCUAUUGAAGGUGUGAUCGACUGGAUGUGGCCUUGCCCACGUACUCCUACUCCAUAUCCUCAAUCCUGGUACUUUCACAUGCAAGAUGAAGAGAAGAUGGAGAGAGGAUCGUUACAGCAACAACACAACACUCAGAGGAUUAGAACCAGUGUUGCCUUAGCCCCUGUUUGA